rnacentral:rRNA from 1 species
CAGCCGCCGCGGUAAUACAGAGGGUGCGAGCGUUAAUCGGAUUUACUGGGCGUAAAGCGUGCGUAGGCGGCUUUUUAAGUCGGAUGUGAAAUCCCUGAGCUUAACUUAGGAAUUGCAUUCGAUACUGGGAAGCUAGAGUAUGGGAGAGGAUGGUAGAAUUCCAGGUGUAGCGGUGAAAUGCGUAGAGAUCUGGAGGAAUACCGAUGGCGAAGGCAGCCAUCUGGCCUAAUACUGACGCUGAGGUACGAAAUCAUGGGGAGCAAACAGGAUUAGAUACCCGGGUAGUCCCUGUCUCUUAUAC